rnacentral:rRNA from 1 species
AUAAGAGGUCCAGCCUGCCCAGUGACCUAGUUCAACGGCCGCGGUAUCCUAACCGUGCGAAGGUAGCGUAAUCACUUGUUCUUUAAAUGAGGACUAGUAUGAAUGGCACCACGAGGGUUAAACUGUCUCCUUUUUUUAAUCAGUGAAACUAAUCUCCCCGUGAAGAAGCGGGGAUUCUUUUAUAAGACGAGAAGACCCUAUGGAGCUUUAAACAAGUUAACACCUGCUACUAAUCUUCACUUUCCUGAACCACCACAUUAAGUAUAGCACCUCUGAUUAACAGUUUUCGAUUGGGGUGAUCAUGGAGCAAAAAUCAACCUCCACGACGAAAAGGAACACCUCCUUGAGCCAAAAGCUACAACUUUAAGCACUAAAAAACUAACGCACUUUGACCCAAUUCUUUGAGCAACGAACCAAGUUACCCUAGGGAUAACAGCGCAAUCCACUUUAAGAGCUCCUAUCGACAAGUGGGUUUACGACCUCGAUGUUGGAUCAGGGUAUCCCAGUGGUGCAGCCGCUACUAAAGGUUCGUUUGUUCAACGAUUAAAACCCUACGUGA